rnacentral:other from 6 species
UGAGCCCUGCCGCGUUCGCGAGGUGGGCGUAUUCUUUGAACCGAUGCGUAAACCGCGUGGCGGCGGCAAUCAUCCGGCGGGUGUGCGCGUGGCCUGGUCCAUGUACCCGAAGCCGGUAUGCUGCGGCCCUCUUGAACCCUGGGUUCAGGAUUGCUAACCGGACGACGCACGCGGGGCUCAC